ACUGGGUCCUGAAUCGGCUGCGUGCUGUUCUAGGUGGGGACUUGAGAGACUGUAGAUGGGUCUAGGGAGUGGUCGAAUAUAAAUAAGCUAGAUUUUUUUUUUUUUAAUUGCAAGGGAACUCCCUAGGAAUUCCAUCCAUGGCCUUGUGGAACGAUCUGCCAAAGAAAAAAUAUUUAUCUCUGUAGGUAAACUCCCAAUAACGUGCUGUUCCUACGUGAAAUGCUUAAUUCCCCCCAAGUUUCUUGGAACCCUCUAGAGAUCUCCAGUCUUUUCAGUCUUUCAGGCCUUCUGAGUUCUCUGACUCCCCUUCUCUGAGCCCCAGUGGGGAAAAUCUCUCCUCAGCUUACAGGAAAUUCAGACUAGUUUGAUGAAGGUGAAGUUGAAGGUCCCCUGUGUGAUUUUUGGCAAGGUUUUUAUUUCCGGGAGAAAUGUAUGUUUCUCAGAUAAGCAUGGCAGAUUCAAUCAAUAAUGUUAAAUAAAUAAGUAAAGAUAAAUUGUGAUGUUCUUAGGGAGAAACCAUUUAAUAGGCAAUUACUAAACAAAUGUACCCAGUGUGACAAAGUGCCUCAGUUUAGAUUUAAGCAUCCACCAGAUCGCCAUGUGUGUUGUUUCUCAUUGCCCCAACAUGACGACAUGGGCAAAAGGAGAAUAUCCAGCUACUGUGAAGGAAUCAAAUGCAGUCUAUUUUUAUAAUGCUAAUAGGUCUUUUGUUGUUCAAAAGUAGUGGCAUUAUCAUGGCUCACUGCAGCCUCUAACUCUUGGGCUAAAUAAAGCAAUCCUCCUGCUUCAGCCUCCCGAAUAACUGGGACUACAGGCAUCCAUCACCACGCCCGGCUAAUUUUUGUAUUUUUUGCAGACAUGGAGUCUUGCUUUGUUGCCCAAGGUGAUCUUGAACUCUGAUAAUCUUUUAAUUUUUAGGCUGGGUUGUGAGAUCAAGAGGAUAUAGUUUAUUAUUAUGCUUCAUAACUUACUUUGUGAUAGGUGGUAAGAAGAAAAACAUUAAACUCAGAAGGGAGAGAUAAAGCGUGGGUGUGUGGGGGAGGAAGGAGUGGUCUGUGUAUGUGAAAUUUUCACUAGGAUGACCACAGGCCUCCUU
rnacentral:lncRNA from 1 species